rnacentral:rRNA from 1 species
CUCCUACGGGGCGCAGCAGUGGGGAAUAUUGCACAAUGGGGGAAACCCUGAUGCAGUGACGCCGCGUGAGUGAAGAAGUAUUUCGGUAUGCAAAGCUCUAUCAGCAGGGAAGAAAAUGACGGUACCUGACUAAGAAGCCCCGGCUAACUACGUGCCAGCAGCCGCGGUAAUACGUAGGGGGCAAGCGUUAUCCGGAUUUACUGGGUGUAAAGGGAGCGUAGACGGUAGAACAAGUCUGAAGUGAAAGCCCGCGGCUCAACUGCGGGACUGCUUUGGAAACUGUUCAGCUGGAGUGCUGGAGAGGG